rnacentral:rRNA from 1 species
UACGUAGGGUGCAAGCGUUGUCCGGAAUUAUUGGGCGUAAAGAGCUCGUAGGCGGUUCGUCGCGUCGGCUGUGAAAACCUGAGGCUCAACCUCAGGCCUGCAGUCGAUACGGGCGGACUUGAGUGUUGCAGGGGAGACUGGAAUUCCUGGUGUAGCGGUGAAAUGCGCAGAUAUCAGGAGGAACACCGGUGGCGAAGGCGGGUCUCUGGGCAACUACUGACGCUGAGGAGCGAAAGCGUGGGGAGCGAACAGGAUUAGAAACCCUUGUAGUCC